UAUUUUUUAAAUAUUUUUAUUUGUCUGAAAUGUAAGUUGAAUCUUCAGAUUCAACUACAUACAUAUGUACAUAUAUAAGAUAUGCCGGGUCGUUGAUGCUGAGGAAUGUCAAGUCAGCACAACGGCUUCAGGUAAAUUUAGGAAAUAAGAUUUUUGUAAAGAAUAAAAUGAUGAUUAAUAAACUGGACGGCAAGCCGCUCAGUACGGUAAA